CGGGGUGUAGCAUAGUGGUAGUGUGUUCGCUUUGGGAGCGAAUGGUCUGGGUUCGAUUCCCAGCACCCCGACCU
rnacentral:tRNA from 1 species